UCCAAAUUGUUGGUCUAGGCUUUGUUGGCUUUUGACAAUUGUCUUCACAUUCUGUUUCUUUGUCUGUGAAGUUCAUUGAUUUCAAGAUUGGAGCUGAAUCUGGAUACAUUAGAUUUGAAGAACCUGAAGGAGCUCAAAAAGCUCGGGCAGCUGCAGUCCUAGCUAAAGAAGGUGGCCUGAUUGUGAAGAAUUUUAUUGCCAUUCUAGAACCGGUUACUGGUGAGGCUGAAAAGGAAUACUGGAGCCUACUUCGAGGUAAUCAAGAACGGCACCGUGAAAAUAAGGGUGGUAACCACCGAGGAAGGGGAGGGAAAUACAAUAGAGGUGGGAAGCACCCUCGCUUUAGAGAAAAUGAUUCUGCAACUGGUCGCCACAAUAAAGCUCAGAAAGUUGAAUCAGCAUGAGAGUAAUGAAACCCCAGAAUCAGUUCUGGGAUUAGUUUUGAUUUGUAUGACACCACCAUGAGAGCUUUUUGUUUCUUUUUUUGUUGAAUCUUUUUACGUUUUGGUGGAGAAGAGCAUGAUGCAGCUGUUCAAUCCCCUGGUGUUUUGUUACCUAUAAGUUUAGUCUAUGUUUCAUGACAUAAUAUUAAGUUUUUGUUUUUAUUUCAAAUAUAUUUAGUUUGUUGUUCA